rnacentral:tRNA from 1 species
GGGGAUGUAGCUCAGCGGGAGAGCGCCUGCUUUGCAUGCAGGAGGCCCUGGGUUCAACCCCCAGCAUCUCCA